UCUCGUGUGUGUAUUUUUUUUAUUCUCCAAUUACAUUGUCAAUGGCACAAAGUGGGUUUCCAGCUAAAUACAGGGUCUUUAGACCUAUUGGUGGAGUACUAUACCAUGUUAGUGAUUGUGUGACGAUGUGAUUGCAUUCUAAAUGUUGAUUUAUUUUAUUAAAAUUGAAGGUAUGUUGACCUCUAUUGGCUUAAAAAAGGAAACGAAGACAAAAUUCAUUAGCUCCAUCAAUCUUUCUAGCUUUCCUAAUUCUAGAAGUUCAGUUGUCUUAAAGAUUUAUAGAUGCUACUAUACAUCAACAUCUGAUUAUUUUCCACGUGUUAAUGCAUGCGAGUAUCCUAGUGCCCUACUAUACGUUUGAUUUGCGUUUUUUUAUGGUGUUUUUGUUUAUUCACUAAUUAUUUGUAACAUACUGCUUGUGGUUUUGUUAAGAUGUACUACGCGUUCUUUGGUGUCCUAUAUUGUGUUUGGAAAACUGGUUGCAGGUUCAAUAGAUUUUUUUACUGGCAAUUUACUUGCUAAACUUCUACUCUGUGCGCUUUCGGAUCAGCCAGUAGUAUGUUAAUAGUAGACUGUGAUAGUAGAGCUGAGGGUAUGACGUGUGGAAUUGGACCUCUGGUGAAACUUUUAACAUUGCAGGGGGCUGGUGCCUGGUUGUGAGUUCUUGUGGAUAUUGUCUCUUUUGUGAUGUACACUUCAUCUGUAUAAACUCAAGAUAUAACUGCGAUGUCAAGUACUCUACACAUUGUAGAAUACAUAAGCUUAGUGCGACUUCAAGCAAUUCUAUGAUACUUGCCUACGUGGUAUGAGCCACUCAAAGCCAACACAUCUCAUUUAGUAAUUAGCAGUGGCUGUCAAGCAGUCGUGCUUAGCCCCUGUAGUCUGUAGACAUCAAAGAAAGAGUUAGUAUAUGUCACAAAGUAAGUGUGUUAGACACCUUUUUCUUUCACUGCUCUGAGCCAUAACCUUACUAAUUUUCUUAACAACAAUUGCUUAAGCGUACCAAAUGAAUAUGGGCAAACACUACUGUUGAUCUGUGAAAAGAACAAGUUAGUGGUGAAAUGGUUUCCGGUAGUAAAUGUGGGUGACAGAGAUAGAAAUGACUCGGAAACUGAAAAGUUUGGAAGGAACAAAAAAAAAAAUCAUGAUAAAGCACUCAGAAACUGCCAGAUACUUUCACCAGCAACAGUUUGGAUCCCACCACAGGCUGCGAAUCUGAAACUGAAUGUCGAUAUUGCUUUCAGCUCGGCAGACACUCCAAUAGGAAUCGGCUGUCUAACAUGGAAUGAAUCUGGGUUGUUAUUAUUUGCAGGAAGUGAGUCUGGACAAGCCAGCUCCAGACGAGGCAGAAUGUGCAGGGAUCCUAUCAGCCUGCAACAGAGCCAUUCAACAACAACUAAAAAGUAUCGAGAGAUUGGAUCAGAUAAUUCAAGUGCAGUAAUUAUCUGACAGGGAAGCCUUCCAACCUGCCCUGGACUACAGCCAAUCUCUUGGACAGUGUUCUAUCUAUAGCUAAGUAUUUUGAUUAUAUUUUCUUUAGUUUCUGUAACAGAACCGGGAAGUCUUGUGCUCAUAUCAUGGCACACUGCUUAUAAAAGCACAACAAUUCCUAACUUCCUUUUCUUGGCUCCAGCACGGCUUGUAGACCUGCUGAAGUUAGAUUCUGUGUUUUGUAAUCUGUCAUAGAGUUAGACCUCUAUUUAUAUACAUCUUGAUUACUAAAAAAAGAGAGAAAAACUGAGUUGAAAAUCAUAGUUUUAAAAGUAGUCAUUGUUUUUGUGGUCCAAUACUCCCCUAACUUAGUCACCUUGGGUAUACUGUGUACAUCUCGAUCUCAUAUUUACUUGUAACAGAGUCAAGUUAAAAAACUUCGGCUUGGAUGUGGUUGAAUCAAUACAUGGUAAUGAAAAAAGAUGGCAAAUUCAUUCAUGAAAAGUUACACUCAUACUUCCGUUGCAACAAAAGUCAUCCCUUCA
rnacentral:lncRNA from 1 species